AGUCAAUUUUAAAAAGUCGAGUAGUGAAGUUUUGCAGACGCGUAUGUUGUUGUUUUUUUUUUUUGAAAUAUCCCAAAUGAGUUUUCUUCAAGCUCUGUGUGUUUUUUGAGUAGUGAUUCUAUGUGUUUUAAAUUGUUAAAGAAAAAAUAAAGCGAAAAAAAGUGUUAAGAAAGUCAAUUCUCUUAGGCAAAAGUUUAAAAAAAAAAAUAAAGAAACCUAAACUCCCCUCAAAGGAUUAAAGCGAAAUUAAACAAAAACAAAAUCCCGCAAAAAAAGAAUUCCCUCCCUUUUAUUAAAGAAAAAAAAAUUUAAGAAAAAAAUUAAAGAAAAACGAAAAAACAACAAAACGAACAUGUUUGCUGAAGGUAUUUUUCCAAUUGGAGACGGUUUGCUGGACAUCGAUGAGGAACGUCUUAAGGGUCUACUCGUUCCUCAUGAUAUCAACGAAAUUUAUGAAGUUGAACAAACACCAUUUGCCAGGUAAUUUUCUUUUAUGAUUAAAACCGGGAAAGGUUACGUAUAAAAAUCUAUUGCAGAAUUAAAGAUUUUCUUUAAUUUUAAUGAUUAAAGGUAAAAGUAAUUUUAAGAUUUUUUUUUAAAAUUUAGGAAAUUAUUUAACUGAAAU